UCUUUCUCAUCAAGCCUUACAAGAAGCUCUUAAUGACCCCCAAAAUGGAGAUGCAGCUUUUAAACAUUUGAAGCAACAGGAAACUGUUUUGUGGAAUUUGGAGCUGGACGGGGAAAACUCUCCCACUGGUUGGAUAUAGCUUUACAGAAUGCCCAAGAUGUUCAUUUUCUUCUUGUGGAAAGGGCAUCUACCAGGUUCAAGGUAAGGCAA